rnacentral:rRNA from 1 species
CAGUAGCCACGGGAAUACGAAGGGUGCAAGCGUUAAUCGGAAUUACUGGGCGUAAAGCGUGCGUAGGCGGUUUGUUAAGUCUGUUGUGAAAUCCCCGGGCUCAACCUGGGAAUGGCAAUGGAUACUGGCAAGCUAGAGUGUGUCAGAGGAUGGUGGAAUUCCCGGUGUAGCGGUGAAAUGCGUAGGGAUCGGGAGGAACAUCAGUGGCGAAGGCGGCCAUCUGGGACAACACUGACGCUGAGGCACGAAAGCGUGGGGAGCAAACAGGAUUAGAUACCCCGGUAGUCCCUGUCUCUUAUUC